rnacentral:rRNA from 1 species
CGAAGGAUCCAAGCGUUAUCCGGAUUUAUUGGGUUUAAAGGGUGCGUAGGCGGAUUGAUAAGUCAGUGGUGAAAGCCUGCUGCUUAACAACAGAACUGCCAUUGAUACUGUCAAUCUUGAAUAUGUUUGAUGUGGGCGGAAUAUGACAUGUAGCGGUGAAAUGCUUAGAUAUGUCAUAGAACACCGAUUGCGAAGGCAGCUCACAAAGCCAUUAUUGACGCUGAGGCACGAAAGCGUGGGGAUCAAACAGGAUUAGAUACCCUGGUAGUCCACGCUGUAAACUUUGAUCACUCGCUGUUGGCGAUACACUGUCAGCGGCUAAGCGAAAGCGUUAAGUGAUCCACCUGGGGAGUACGAUCGCAAGAUUG